GGCGUGCUUAACACAUGCAAGUCGAACGGUGAAAGCGGAGCUUGCUCUGCUGGAUCAGUGGCGAACGGGUGAGUAACACGUGAGCAAUCUGCCCCUGACUCUGGGAUAAGCGCUGGAAACGGCGUCUAAUACCGGAUACGAGCUGCGAAGGCAUCUUCAGCAGCUGGAAAGAACUUCGGUCAGGGAUGAGCUCGCGGCCUAUCAGCUAGUUGGUGAGGUAACGGCUCACCAAGGCGUCGACGGGUAGCCGGCCUGAGAGGGUGACCGGCCACACUGGGACUGAGACACGGCCCAGACUCCUACGGGAGGCAGCAGUGGGGAAUAUUGCACAAUGGGCGAAAGCCUGAUGCAGCAACGCCGCGUGAGGGACGACGGCCUUCGGGUUGUAAACCUCUUUUAGCAGGGAAGAAGCGAAAGUGACGGUACCUGCAGAAAAAGCGCCGGCUAACUACGUGCCAGCAGCCGCGGUAAUACGUAGGGCGCAAGCGUUAUCCGGAAUUAUUGGGCGUAAAGAGCUCGUAGGCGGUUUGUCGCGUCUGCUGUGAAAACCCGAGGCUCAACCUCGGGCCUGCAGUGGGUACGGGCAGACUAGAGUGCGGUAGGGGAGAUUGGAAUUCCUGGUGUAGCGGUGGAAUGCGCAGAUAUCAGGAGGAACACCGAUGGCGAAGGCAGAUCUCUGGGCCGUAACUGACGCUGAGGAGCGAAAGGGUGGGGAGCAAACAGGCUUAGAUACCCUGGUAGUCCACCCCGUAAACGUUGGGAACUAGUUGUGGGGACCAUUCCACGGUUUCCGUGACGCAGCUAACGCAUUAAGUUCCCCGCCUGGGGAGUACGGCCGCAAGGCUAAAACUCAAAGGAAUUGACGGGGACCCGCACAAGCGGCGGAGCAUGCGGAUUAAUUCGAUGCAACGCGAAGAACCUUACCAAGGCUUGACAUAUACGAGAACGGGCCAGAAAUGGUCAACUCUUUGGACACUCGUAAACAGGUGGUG
rnacentral:rRNA from 1 species